rnacentral:lncRNA from 1 species
AAAAACAAGAAUGUGUCCUCAGUACACGAAUGCCCCACUCGCACUAUCAUUUUCCAUGUUCAGUGGACCGUGAAAUUGGGGUAAAAACUCUAAUUUGGCAUUAAAAUUAGAAAGAUCUUAUCAUAGGGGACAUGUGUACUAAGUUUGAAGUCGAUUGGACUUAAACUUCAUCAAAAACUACCUUGACCAAAAACUUUAACCUGAAGCGGGACAGACGGACGGACAAACGAACGGACAGACGGACGGACGAACGAACGGACGGACGAACGAACGGACGGACGGACGCACAGACCAGAAAACAUAAUGCCCCUAGGUGGGGCAUAAAAAUUGAAUUGUAAUUUCCU